rnacentral:siRNA from 1 species
UCCUAGUGACCUGAACUCGCU